rnacentral:tRNA from 1 species
GGGCCCGUGGCCAAGCCAGGAUAAAGGCAUCGGCCUUCGGAGCCGAAGAGCCUGGGUUCAAAUCCCAGCGGGCCCG